rnacentral:snRNA from 1 species
GGAUGUAAGGGCAAUCUGUCUGCGACAUCUGUGAGUCACCACGUUGAUCACCAGGGUUGAUUUGGUCAAUCAUGCUGGCUAGGCUGGUGUACCCCGCUUCCUCCCUCAUGGUUCCAGGUGUGUCCCUCCCAGAGUUGCGCUCUUGGUCAAAGAGGAGGACAUUCUGAGAAUAGAGAUAGACUGGUCUUCAGUCUAGGGUAUAGGAGUAGCUGUAUUCCCUUGUUAGAAACUCCAAACAAGCUCUCAAAAAAAAAAAAAAUGUUGAGCCAACUUCUUAUAGCCAAAGGAAUUUUCUUCUAGAAAUGAUCUCUCCUU